GACAUCGAAAGCUUGCUUUUGAUGGGCGUCGACCGGCGCACGGGUGAGUAACGCGUAUCCAACCUGCCCACCACUUGGGGAUAACCUUGCGAAAGUAAGACUAAUACCCAAUGACAUCCCACGAAGGCAUCCGAAUGGGAUUAAAGAUUUAUCGGUGAUGGAUGGGGAUGCGUCUGAUUAGCUUGUUGGCGGGGUAACGGCCCACCAAGGCAACGAUCAGUAGGGGUUCUGAGAGGAAGGUCCCCCACAUUGGAACUGAGACACGGUCCAAACUCCUACGGGAGGCAGCAGUGAGGAAUAUUGGUCAAUGGGCGAGAGCCUGAACCAGCCAAGUAGCGUGCAGGAUGACGGCCCUAUGGGUUGUAAACUGCUUUUAUAAGGGAAUAAAGUGAGUCUCGUGAGACUUUUUGCAUGUACCUUAUGAAUAAGGACCGGCUAAUUCCGUGCCAGCAGCCGCGGUAAUACGGAAGGUCCGGGCGUUAUCCGGAUUUAUUGGGUUUAAAGGGAGCGUAGGCCGGAGAUUAAGCGUGUUGUGAAAUGUAGAGGCUCAACCUCUGCACUGCAGCGCGAACUGGUCUUCUUGAGUACGCACAACGUGGGCGGAAUUCGUGGUGUAGCGGUGAAAUGCUUAGAUAUCACGAAGAACUCCGAUUGCGAAGGCAGCUCACGGGAGCGCAACUGACGCUGAAGCUCGAAAGUGCGGGUAUCGAACAGGAUUAGAUACCCUGGUAGUCCGCACGGUAAACGAUGGAUGCCUGCU
rnacentral:rRNA from 1 species